rnacentral:rRNA from 1 species
CAGUCGCCGCGGGAAUACGGAGGGGGCUAGCGUUGUUCGGAAUUACUGGGCGUAAAGCGCACGUAGGCGGCUUGGUAAGUUAGAGGUGAAAGCCUGGAGCUCAACUCCAGAAUUGCCUUUAAGACUGCCGAGCUAGCAGGUGAGAGAGGUAAGUGGAAUUCCGAGUGUAGAGGUGAAAUUCGUAGAUAUUCGCGAGAACACCAGUGGCGAAGGCGGCUCACUGGCCCAUAACUGACGCUGAGGCACGAAAGCGUGGGGAGCAAACAGGAUUAGAUACCCCUGUAGUCCCUGUCUCUUAUAU